UUUGAAAAAGCCCCAGGUUUUAGGUUUAAAAUUGAAUUAUUCAUCACUCAUUAAUACUAUUUAUGUUUUGUCGGCCAUCUUGUUGUCAUGCGUGUUGUCCCGCGUGAUUUACGCGAAUAAUGUUCCACCCCAUGUUCCCCGGGGAACAUGGGGUGGAACAUUGUCAAAAGGAACGCAGGCUCGCUAAUUGAUGACGUAAGGCGUGAUAUCGCGAUUAAUUUCAUGCUUACGUGGCACAAACUAAGCUUCCUGAUUGGA